rnacentral:misc_RNA from 1 species
AAGUCGUAACAAGGUUUCCGUAGGUGAACCUGCGGAAGGAUCAUUAUUGAAUAAUCUUGAUGGAUUGUUGCUGGCUCUUCAAAGGAGCAAGUGCACAUCUGUCAUUUUUAUCUUUCCACCAUGUGCACUAUGCAUAGACUUGACAUUUCUGUGAUCAAACUUUGUUUUUGAUUUUUGGAGAUUGCUGUUUGUGAUAACAGCUUUUUCUGUGUUCAAGUUCUAUGAAUUUAUAUAUACGCCUAUGCAUGUCAAAGAAUGUUAUAAAGGGUUUUUAAAAUCCUAUAAAGUUAAAUACAACUUUCAGCAACGGAUCUCUUGGCUCUC